CAGAGUUGCAAGACUCCCUAAACCAUUGUGAACCUACCUUCUACCGUUGCUUCGGCGGGCGGGCCCAGCGCCCCCCCGGCCCCCCGCGGGCGCCCGCCGGAGGAUACCCAAACUCUUGACAUUAGUGGCCUCUCUGAGUAUUCUUACUGAAUAAGUCA
rnacentral:misc_RNA from 1 species